ensembl:snoRNA
AUCUUUUUGUAGUUCAUGGUGGCUGGGUUUUCUUAUAAUGUGGGAUGCAGCUCCCACAAGCCUUGUUAUGACAUGGACAUGUUCACCAGUCUAACA